rnacentral:misc_RNA from 1 species
GAUGAAGAACUUAGCGAAAUGCGAUACGUAAUGUGAAUUGCAGAAUUCAGUGAAUCAUCGAAUCUUUGAACGCACAUUGCGCCCGCUAGUAUUCUGGCGGGCAUGCCUGUCCGAGCGUCAUUUCAACCCAUCAAGCUUAGCGCUUGUGUUGGAGCCCUGCGGCCGCCGCAGCCUCCUAAAAUCAGUGGCGGGCUCGCUAUCACGCUGAGUGCAGUAGUAUUCUUCUCACUCCUGUGGUGUAGCGGGUAACCAGCCGUAAACCCCCCCAUCUAUAAAGGUUGACCUCGGAUCAGGUAGGAAUACCCGCUGAACUUAAGCAUAUCAAUAAGCGGAGGA